GGAGGGUUGCCUGAGUGGUCGAAAGGGGCCGCCUGCUAAGCGGUUGUAGGGAGGUUAAGCUCCCUACCCUGGGUUCGAAUCCCAGACCCUCCGCCA
rnacentral:tRNA from 1 species